UGUGUGUGUGUGGGUGUGUGUGGGUGUGCGCGCGCGCGCACCCACGCACGCACCCACGCACGCACACG
rnacentral:miRNA from 1 species